AGAGGACCUCAUAGUCAAUGAAGGAGGAGAAAUAGCUGUGGAUCCAGUUGCUGUAGUUCCUCCAGUGGCGGAAGAAACAAAAUGUUAACAGAUUGUCAGAGCCCGUGUGAAGAGAUUCCUUUUCAGUUAGAAAAGAUACAACUCUUUUGUAAUGUCCUCCUUUUAGUAACAGAGUGACAAUAUUGACUCUAUAUUAAAGAGGACUAGAGCAGAGCAGAAACCUCUGUAGCUGGUGCGAAUGAAAAUAGAACAGCAGAGGGAGGGAAGUUAGGGGAAGUAUUGUAAGGGGAAGAAGAAAGACGAGAGAUCUCUUCUCUGAUUGUAGAGAUCUUGUCAGUGAAGUGAGUUGCAAAGUCUGUGGCGGUCAAGUUAGUAGGUGGAAGAGGAACAGCAGGGCGAAGAAGAGAGUUAAAUGUGCGAAAUAGUCGUUUGGGUUCGCGGGAGAGUGUGGUUAUGAGGGUAUUGAAGUAAUUAACUUUUGCAGAGGAAAGAGCCAAGCUGUAUGAGUUCAGCAUAAAUUUAUAGUGGAGAAAGUCAGAUGCACAGUGAGACUUUCUCCAACAGCGUUCAGCAGUUCUUGAGCAUUUUUGGAGGUAUCGAGUGAGCUUGUUUCAUCAAAAGCGGUAAGAGAGAAUUAAUGGGAGAAUUAUGGAUAUAAAGUUACAAUGCCCCCUAUAUUGUCUAUGGAGUGGAUUAUAUUUAUCAAUACUUUUAAUUUCACAGCCAGCUAUGUCUAAAUAUCAAACAUUUAUUAUGCAGAUUACAGAAAUAAUAUUUAUUAAUGAUAAAUAAAAACCACAGCAAUUCCAAAUUUUCUAACAUAUAACGCACAAACUCGACAAAUACCCCAAAGAGCUUGCAAUCUUUUGCCGUUUCCUUUGCUGUACGUUGAUACCCUACCUGAUCUGUAAUAUACCGUGGGGUUACUGUAUUACAGAUCCAAGAUUGGAAAGAUGAAGACAAACACAGUCUUUCUGCUUCUGGGUUUAGGUGAGUUUUGUGAAAUUCUAAUAUUGACAAUGCAAAUCUGGGGUUUUAAAUGUGUUCAAUAAAUAAUCAAAGUAGCAAAAAAAAAAAAAAGGAAUUCUAUAAAUCAAUCUUAACAUUCAUUUCACCAUGCAUUUCGUUCAGAUAUGGGAUUUUAAAAUAAUGACAAAAUACAGUUUAUUUUAAAUGAAGCAAUUUUCAGAAAGGUAAUUUAAAUAACUCUGACAUAGCAAGAACAUUGUUUGCAGUCCCUCUGAGAGCCCUGCCUGAACGUAUUCUAAGAUACAUUUGUUUAAACAGGAAGUCGAUAAAUAAAAAGAAAGUUACUUUCUCUGGUAAUUAAUAUAUCACAUACUAUUGUCAUUAAGAAAAUAGUCACCAUGUUUAUUCCUUAAAUAAGAUAUUUAAAGGGACACUAGUCACCCAGACCACUUCAGCUCAAUGAAGUGGUCUGGGUGCCAGGUCCCUCAGGUUGUAACCCUGCAGAUGCAAACAUAGCAGUUUCAGAGCUGACGGGGAGAAUAUUUUCUAAUGUGAAUUCCUGACGAUUCUCGUUUUAGUAAAUAACCGUGUUUAUAUUUUCUCUGGAUACCUGGCAAUGCACAGAUUAUUGAAUAACCCUGUAAAUUAACUCUUAUUAGGUGUGAUUAAUCUCUUAUGAGGUUAUAUUAGUAUCAGAUCUGUAAAUGAGCAAGCUGUACUUACUUUCAUUAUUGGGUUUGUUUAAGCAUGCAGUGUUAUUGCCAUCUGUAUAAUAAACUGAUCUCCUGCUCUUUUAGUUCUGUGUCUGGCGCUGGUCAGUC
rnacentral:lncRNA from 1 species